rnacentral:lncRNA from 1 species
CAGAAUGCUCAGCGCCACCGCAGCAAGGACACGAACGACGCGUGAGGCGUGACGUAUUCUGGGAUUUGUAGUCCGGGGAACCUGCGGGUGUGAGCGACUCCUGGAACAAAGGAAGCGGGAUUGUCCUCCUCGGGCGUCCCCUCAGCUUGCAGAGGGUCUCAGAGCCGGUCACCAGGAUGGUAGGGGCCGCAGGUGGCGGGAGAAGCGUUCAAUAAAUACGGCGUUCCUGGCGUGGUCGGUCAUAAAGAACAGAGGACAGCCCUGCCCUUCCGAAGCUCGCGCUGCACGGAGGCAGAGGGACAAACGCGAAAGAGAAAGGAAGGCGGGCAGAGGGCGGUCCUUCGGGGUGGGUGGCCCCGCGAGGACGCCCCGAGGGCAGAGUGCUGUGCAGGAGCUGAAGACUCAGCCAUGAGCAUGGUCCUGUAGACUGGGUACCACAGUGACUUUGGGGGCAGGAUUGGAGAUGAGACAGUUCACCUAUAUAAGGAAGGGAAUGUACUUUUUUUCCAAAGGAGGAAAGGUUAGUUUGGCAGCAGGGGAGCCUGGGGAGAGCAGAGAGGGGACAUG